CAAUAGCGUAUAUUAAAGUUGUUGCAGUUAAAAAGCUCGUAGUUGGAUUUGUGGUGUACUUCGGCGGCCCGUCACUAUGUGAUGGAGCUUGCUGAAGUCGCCAUCCUUGGGUGGAUCCUGUGUGGCAUUAAGUUGUCGUGCAGGGGAUGCCCAUCGUUUACUGUGAAAAAAUUAGAGUGUUCAAAGCAGGCUUAUGCCGUUGAAUAUGUUAGCAUGGAAUAAUAAGAUAGGACCUUGGUACUAUUUUGUUGGUUUGCGCACCAAGGUAAUGAUUAAUAGGGACAGUUGGGGGUAUUCGUAUUUCAUUGUCAGAGGUGAAAUUCUUGGAUUUUUGAAAGACGAACUACUGCGAANGNAUUUACNAAGGAUGUUUNCAUUA
rnacentral:rRNA from 1 species